rnacentral:rRNA from 1 species
UAGGGAAUCUUCCGCAAUGGACGCAAGUCUGACGGAGCAACGCCGCGUGAGUGAAGAAGGAUUUCGGUUCGUAAAACUCUGUUGUUAGAGAAGAACAGCGCAUAGAGUAACUGUUAUGCGUGUGACGGUAUCUAACCAGAAAGCCACGGCUAACUACGUGCCAGCAGCCGCGGUAAUACGUAGGUGGCAAGCGUUGUCCGGAUUUAUUGGGCGUAAAGCGAGCGCAGGCGGUCAAUUAAGUCUGAUGUGAAAGCCCCCGGCUCAACCGGGGAGGGUCAUUGGAAACUGGUUGACUUGAGUGCAGAAGAGGAGGGUGGAAUUCCAUGUGUAGCGGUGAAAUGCGUAGAUAUAUGGAGGAAAACCAGUAGCGAAGGCGACUCUCUGGUCUGUAACUGACGCUGAGGCUCGAAAGCGUGGGUAGCAAACAGG